rnacentral:rRNA from 1 species
GACGAACGCUGGCGGCGUGCUUAACACAUGCAAGUCGAACGCUGAAGCUUGGUGCUUGCACUGGGUGGAUGAGUGGCGAACGGGUGAGUAAUACGUGAGUAACCGGCCCUUGACUCUGGGAUAAGCCUGGGAAACUGGGUCUAAUACUGGAUACGACAUGUCACCGCAUGGUGGUGUGUGGAAAGGGUUUUACUGGUUUUGGAUGGGCUCACGGCCUAUCAGCUUGUUGGUGGGGUAAUGGCUCACCAAGGCGACGACGGGUAGCCGGCCUGAGAGGGUGACCGGCCACACUGGGACUGAGACACGGCCCAGACUCCUACGGGAGGCAGCAGUGGGGAAUAUUGCACAAUGGGCGGAAGCCUGAUGCAGCGACGCCGCGUGAGGGAUGACGGCCUUCGGGUUGUAAACCUCUUUCAGCACGGAAGAAGCGAAAGUGACGGUACGUGCAGAAGAAGCGCCGGCUAACUACGUG